UACGUAGGGGGCAAGCGUUGUCCGGAAUUAUUGGGCGUAAAGAGCGUGUAGGCGGUCCGGUAAGUCAGCUGUGAAAGUCAAGGGCUCAACCCUUGAAAGCCGGUUGAUACUGUCGGGCUAGAGUACGGAAGAGGCGAGUGGAAUUCCUGGUGUAGCGGUGGAAUGCGCAGAUAUCAGGAGGAACACCUAUAGCGAAGGCAGCUCGCUGGGACGUUACUGACGCUGAGUGAGCGAAAGCCAGGGGAGCAAACGGG
rnacentral:rRNA from 1 species